rnacentral:lncRNA from 1 species
GUGGCAGCGCAUGCAGUGGGGACGCGCCGUGCCUAGCUACGUCGUCGGUAUUUGCUUUUGUAUUCUUGUGUGUGUGUUUGGUGCGCACGUGAUUGUUGUUUGUUUCCUUUGUACGUGUGGCUGUCGGGUCUAGAUCUCGGCUCUUGUGUGUGUUGUGCUGCUACGUCAGUUUUGUGGCAGUAAAUUAAUUUGGAUUGUAUCUUGCAUGUUUCAAUUAUAUAUUUGUUGGCUGCAUAUUUCAAUUAUAGAUGUUGGAAUUAUGUGAAUUGCUCCAAUGUGCCAUUGGUUACCAUUGCAUGAUCGGUGAAAUACACGGUAAAUAUGUCAUGCGUCGUAGUUACUCUGUUUUGCACAACUAGCCUCUGUUUGUGCGUCUAGAUUUAUAGAUAUUAUUGUAUUUGGUGUUGUUUUUCUUUUUAUUUAUGUGACUCCACUGUCAAGAAUAGUUUUAUUGUUCAGCUUAUGGGCACUUGGUAGAUGAGAUUAAGGCCCUGAUGGAGGAGAGGGAGUUUAUUCCCCAGAAGAUUUGUAGGGAUCAAAAUAGGGUAGCAGAUUGUCUGGCUAAUUACAGUCGUACAGAAUCGUGUCUCUUUGCCGCAAAAAAAAGAAUAGUUUUAUUGUAGCAACUUUACUAGUUACAGCUAUUUAAAUUUUAUUAAAAUUUUGCCCCUGAAAUAUAGGUUGUUAACCUGAAAGGAGAAUACGGUGUCAGAAACACGGGCAUCCGAGGGAGUAUAGGCCGUGCGCUUUACCGCACCGUUCUUCGUUCCUGGGAUUAACUCUUCACUAGUGCAGAAAACCUUUAUAGGAUUUUGCUACUAGCAGUAUGCGAAUAAAAUGGGGUGCGAGUGCUAAUUUGACAAAAUACAUGUGACGUUCACGAAAAUAGUACACGAUGCUAAUACUCGUGUGUGACACCAGCGCACACUGCUAGUAAUGGGCACCGAGGAAGCCCUUCAUCUCGAAUAUACUAGCAGCUAGCGCGGCAAACGCCGCGAAUGUAGAAAGAACAAGUGGUGCGCACAGAAAUCCGGGACGCCACUAAUACGUAGUGUGGACCUCAUGUGUCUGAAUUAUCCAAUACAAAGGUUCAAUUUUUUUUAAUUAGUUUCAUCAAAUAUAACUAAAUUGCAACUCAAAAGUCCAGUAAUUGUGUUUGAAAUCCUGAAAUGCCACUCUGCGUGAGUGAGGUGCCACCGCAUGCAGUGGAGGACGAGGUGCCUACGUCGUCGGUAUUUGCUCUUGUAUUGUUGUAUGUGUUUUGUGAGCUCGUGAUUGUUGUUUGUUUUCUUUGUACGUGUGGCUGUCGGGUCUAGAUCUCGGCUCUUGUGCUAUGUAUUGUGUUGUUAUGUCAGUUUUGCGGUAGUAAACUAAUUUGGACCGUAUCUUGCAUGUUUCAAUUAUAUAUUUUUGGGAGCGCCUGGAGCUCAGCUGAAUGAGAUAUAGUUAUGUCUCAUUGAGCUGAUGUCAGGCUGACGUCAUCCUGUAUGUUGGCUGCCCGCUUUGCUCGUGUUGUUUUUACUGUGGGUUGGGUGGUGCGUUGUUGGGCUUGGUAACAUGGGCUGGCAUGGGGUGCAUUGUAUUGGCGCUCCAAGACGUGCUUUUCUUUUCUCCUUUUGUUUGUGCUUUCUUUGUAAUUUUGUGAACAAACAGGCCACAACUAUUUUACGUAUAAGCCUUUGUAUGUACGUACUUUAUUACUAGGCUGACUGUAUUAUGUGGUACGAGAACAUGCAGAAGGAGAACACACGUAUAUUACCGGCAAAAAAAGGAACAAAUCCUUAACAAAAAAAAAA